AAACAAACGUCCAGGACUAAUUAAAAUCAGAACCCAGUAUCCGAUUAGCGCACGUUUGGCAGACCUUAGCUUUGGCAUUGUUUUCUGACCAGUUUACUGAUUAGUGUUUAUUACUAAUCAUCUGUGGCUGGAAACAUGACCCAGAGAGAAGAAAGACAAGGGCAACAGCAUGCAGUGACAUUGUUAGAAUUAUUCAAAGUGUUUUCAGCAGGAAUCACUCAACUCAAAUCCACAACCACAAC
rnacentral:lncRNA from 1 species